UACAGGGGGUGCAAACGUUGCUCGGAAUUAUUGGGCGUAAAGCGCACGUAGGCGGUUGCUUAAGUCGGAUGUGAAAGCCCUUGGCUCAACCAAGGAAGUGCAUCCGAAACUGAGCAGCUGGAGUACGAAAGAGGGUCGCGGAAUUCCCGGUGUAGAGGUGAAAUUCGUAGAUAUCGGGAGGAACACCGGUGGCGAAGGCGGCGACCUGGGUCGAUACUGACGCUGAGGUGCGAAAGCGUGGGGAGCAAAAGGG
rnacentral:rRNA from 1 species